rnacentral:SRP_RNA from 2 species
GCUAGGUGUGGUGUCGCGCACCUGUAAUCCCAGCUACUCGGGAGGCUGAGGCAGGAGAAUCACUUGAACCCGGGAGGCAGAGGUUGCAGUGAACCGAGAUCAUGCCACUGCACUCCAGCCUGGGUGACAGAGUGGGACUCAGUCUCAA